rnacentral:rRNA from 1 species
AGCGUAGACGGCUGGACAAGUCUGAAGUGAAAGCCCAGGGCUCAACCCUGGGACUGCUUUGGAAACUGCCCGGCUAGAGUGCUGGAGAGGUAAGUGGAAUUCCUAGUGUAGCGGUGAAAUGCGUAGAUAUUAGGAGGAACACCAGUGGCGAAGGCGGCUUACUGGACAGUAACUGACGUUGAGGCUCGAAAGCGUGGGGAGCAAACA